ACACUUACCUAGCAAGGGAGAUGCCAUGAUCACAAAGGAGGUUUUCCCAGGGGAAGGCUUAUCCGUUGCACUCUAGAUGUGCUGACUCCUGCAAUUUCCCCAAAUGUGGGAAGCUCGACUGUAUAAUUUGUAGUAGUGGGGACUUAUAUUCAUGCUUUCCCCUG
rnacentral:snRNA from 11 species